rnacentral:tRNA from 1 species
CAAGAGGUGUUUUGAACACCAAGAACUG